rnacentral:lncRNA from 1 species
GUUUUAGUUCCAGUGUUACUUACCAUGCUUGUGGUCUUCAGUGUGUGUUGGGAAAGAGAGAGGUAACAGCAUUUCCUAGCUGACAUGGAUAUAGCAAGUACUUUCUUUAAAUCAAGCACAGAGGCAGAAAAGGCAUUAAAGGAUGUGUCUUUUUGGCUACUGCUCUGCUGGAGCUGAAGCUUUCCCAAAACUCACAGCUAAGCAGUUCAGUGUGUGUUGUGCGGGACAGCUACAGAAUUCCAAUUACUGCAACGUACAGCUUAUUAGACACCAGUUCAUACCGAUCUGCUCAUCAAAAACACUUCUCCACCAGCAAUCAUGUAGCUCUGCAGCUCCAGUGUAACAUGACCCAGCCUCACAGAUCUGUGAAGUAUUACCUGGAAUAUGUAUUCUGCCCUGACAUGGAGGGCAUUUGCUCCUUCUUAAACUUUAUGAUUUGAAAUCCUUGCCAUGACGAAAGGAAAAUCAGAAAAGUUAAAAGGAAGACUUCUGUGUGUGUGUUAAAAAAAAAAGUUAUAGAUUAAGUCGUCUAUUACUUUUUUUCUUAUUGAACAUAUAUUUCAAUGAGAAUUCACUUGUCACUUUGAUAUCUAAAAAAGAGACAGGACAAAGUUG